UAGCCAUAUCAUGUUGAAACACCACUCCCCGUACGACCAUUGAAGUUAAGCAACACUGAAACUAGUCAGUACAUAGAUGUGUGACCGCUUAGGAAUACCAGGUGCUGCAAG